GGCAAUAUAGUGUAGUGGUCAUCACUCGGGAUUUUGAUAUUUCGGCGUCCAAGACGUUAAGAGUUCUUCCCGGAACCCAGGUUCGAACCCUGGUAUUGCCU